rnacentral:lncRNA from 1 species
UAACCUAUGGACCGAACGCCUAAAAGCUAGGAGGAAGAUCAGCUGUUUUCAAAAAAGGAGACCCCUCCCUUUACGAUUUUCAUCUUCUCCAGCAAAACAAUGACCUAACGCCUAAGACCUAAGUUUCUUCUUCAACCAGAACACACUUGAAACCCCAGCCGUUUACCCCAUCUUCACCUCCAUGCUUCCUCACCUCACAGCAACCUAACGCCACGCUACAACCACCAACUGCCGUCGGCCGGAUCUCCCUUCAACUCACGCCCCAACAAGUAAGAGAACCCCAAAACCUGUACCAUCUUCUUCAACUAAACCCCUAACACCCUAAGAACCUAGAGCAACUUCGGUUCGAAUCAGGGGGUAUGUUCUCUUAUGUUUGUAUUCUCCAGAUUUGGUUUAACGUGAAAUCACGAUUGCUUCACCUUAUUUGUUACUAUUGUUUGGAUUUGUCUAUUUUAAUUAGUCUCAGUAUGAGUAAAGUGCGACCCUGUUCAUUUGUUCGAAGCUGCUUGUUCACAAAUACAAUCGCUCCGUGUCUCUGCACUUUAUAUUGUAGGUAUCAAUCAAAGUUUGUUGUUGAACAACUAGAAAUGAGCAUGUUAUUUUUGCAAAUAAUUUGAAGCAGUUAGGGUGUUUACUUAUCUUGUUGAUUAACCUAAUUAAUGUGAAUAUGCUGUUUCAUGUAAUCAAAUUUGUUGUUGGUUAGAGUAAGUAGAAAUGAAUGAACUUUUACAUGUUGUAUGAAGCACUUCUGAAGAACAUCCAAGAAAAUUAAAUGCCUAUACAAUUUUACACACACUAUUAAAAGGUAAAAAAUUAAAAAUUAUUCUGUGAUACAUGUAUUUUAAAUCAAUUAUGAGGAGUACGUAGUUAGUUUAACAACUCAUGUUUAAUUGUGGCUCUUUGAAUAGUUUGUUGGAUUAAAGACGGUUAAUGACUUGAACAUGACAUUAGUUGGUUUGGGUUUAAAAGUUGAAUAAAUUAUGAACAUCGUAGUUUGCUUUAGGCACGUAAUUAACUCAUUACAAUUACGGGUACGGUUCCUGUGACGUAGUUGUGAUACUUAAUUUCAAAUUAGCUCUAAAUAUGUAUCCGUAGUUCACUUAGUUGAGUGCAUUUCCUUUAAUAAAAUUGAGGUGUGCCAUACAAUCACCUAGUCUACGGCCCUCACAUCGAUAUCUUAAUUAGUGUAGAAAAUGACUUGAAAUCUCGUAGUUUGCUUUAGGCCCGUAAUUAAAUUAUUACAACUACGGGUACAGUUCCCGUGACGUGGUUGUGAUACCUAAUUCCAAAUUAGAUUAAAGUAGGAGUAUCUUUAGUUAGCCUCCAAAACUGCAAAUCUUUUUUUUCAAAUAAAUUGAGGUGAGCCGUACGCAAGCAAAACCUAUAAUCUACGGCCCUCAUACUAAUUAUCUUAUCUAGUGUAAAAAAAUGCCUUGAACUUUCGCAGUUUGCUUUAGGCGGGUUAAUUAAAUAAUUGUCAUAACUACGAGUAUGGUUCACGUGACGUGAUCGUGACACCUAAUUCUAAAAUCUGGGGUACAUUUAUGUGACCCAACCACAAUUUAAUCUUGAUAAAUAAAUAAACACGUUGUGAAUCGUGGGUACGGUUCCCGUGAUAUGAUUCGCAAUGUGUAAUCAAAUAAUUAGUUGCAUAACAAUUGGAUUAUUAAAAGCGGUUUAAAAGGAAUAAAAUGCACAUAGGUUUCAAAGAUGUUUUUAAAAUAAAAUAAAUAGGCCAAUAAUAAUAGUUGAGCAGCCGUGCUAAAACCACAAAAUCUGGGAAUGCCUAAUACCUUCUCUUUGGUUAACAUAAUUCCUUAUCCAGAUUUCUGUGUUCGUGGACUGUAAAACAAAGUCAAUAUUUCCUCGAUUCGGGAUUUGAACCUGUGACUUGGGACAUCAUAAAUUAUCCCAAAUGACGACUUUGAAUUUUAAAUAAAAUAAUCUCGUUUCAAUUGUCACUUAAAUUGGAAAAAACUUCCUUAUACUCCCUUCCGGGGGUGUGAUAAAGGAGGUGUGACAGUUAGUUUUACAAUUUAGAUUAAUUUAGGGUUUAAUUUAGUUUUUUCAUUAAUUAAAGUAAAGGAAAAGAAAAAUAAAAGAAAAGUUGAUUUUUUUAUAGAGAAAACGCUGUUUUAAUUGGGCCAAUUAUGCUGAAGCCCAAACCCCCUUUACCCCAAACCUGCCCAAGUUCCCUCCGACCCUAUCCAAAUUAGAUACCUGGUCCAGCCCCGCCUCACUAAAUCCAAACUAUGCCAUUUCUAACGCCUUCAUCUCAACCGUUAGAUCAUUGAGAUCCAAUGGCUCGGAACUCAUCACUCCCCAACUAUAUAAGUGUUUGAACCCCGGUCAAACCCUAGAGACCUUUUCCUCAUCUCCCUUGUCCCCAAGACAUCAAACCCUAGUCGCCCUUUCACCCCUCACCGACUCUGCCUUACUCCGCCGCCGAAAAUCGCCCACGACAGUGGACCACCUCCAAACACCACUAAAUUAACCCACCAGAAUCCUUGUCAUCUCCUCUUCCCACAUCCCUAACCCAUUCCCCUCGAAUCCCUCUCAAACCCUUCCUAUUUCAGAUCUGAAAUUCAAACCUAAAAACCCUAGCUCACCCAAAUAAUCCCAAACUCACAUCCUAUAAUCACCAGGCCUCCCCAAACUCAAAACCCUUAACAAUUUUUCCCAAACAAUCUCUGGAACUCGCCGAAUCUUGGAUCUAGGUUUAACCUAAUUUUGGAGUUUGGGGAUUUCUUGGAAGUUUCUAUUCAUCUUAGCUAGAAACUUGCCCAAAUAGGUUAUUCUUGACCAGAAUGUUCGUUUGGGUCAGUUUCAAGCCAUGUCGAAACAAUCUGAGCCUCGCCGGUCUUCCGCCUUUGAUUUUGUUGAUCAUCUUGCUGAUUAAACCGGUACUCCCUGGCCUUUAGUCAUUUAUUAAUCUCUGUUCUGUUAAUUAUUUGAUCCGCCAUUGGUGUUAUUUGGGCUUCAUGUUUAGAUAAUUAGGGUCAGACGAGUCAAAUGAUUUGUUUAGGGUACUUGAUGACAAUUUGGGUUUGUUUUCUGUUUGAUAUUUAGUUUCUAUACCUGUUUUCUUUGUUUGGUUUGAGUCAGUUAGGUUAAUCCCAGCAUUUUGUUCAAUACUUAGUUAGACGUUUGUGAUUUCCCCUCUCAGUAAUCCAUUGACAGGCUUUAAUAACUUUUCUUUUGAAAUUUGUGUUAGUCUUAGGUUUGAGUCAUUUCUGUUUCUGUUCAUGGUUAGUUUGGUUCAUGAUUAUUGAAUUGAAGCAUAGUUUGAAGGAUUAAUUGCAUUUCCGUUUGUCUUUUGAUUCUAUUUUCCAAUGCUUGCCUGCUUUGUUCUUGUUUGCCAUAAUUUGCCAAUCCAUAGAAACUUAGGAGAGGUUAAUUGAACCAUUAAAAAACUGAAGGUUUUAAGCUUGAAAUGAGAUAGGGACCUUUAGAUAAAUCCUACACUUAGAAGCUUCUAGAAGAGAGGGAAGCUAUCCCUAUUUGGUUAGCACAAAAAUGCUGAGCCAAUAGGGGAUAACCAACUGUCCAGGUGGUUAAGAAGAUGCCUUUUACAAGCUAGGAAUAUUUCCCAUUUUCUGUUUUAAGCACAUGGCCUUAGAGGCCUAUAAAAGAGUGCCCUUUCCUUCACUUUAAAAAUAGACUAGGAGCAUCAUUUUUCUACACUAAAAUUAUGAAAAACUCAUCAGAAAUCUCGACCCUAGAUAAAAGCCCCCAAUGUUCUUGCAUUGUUUGAAGUCUUCUUCUGAUUUUCACAAAAAAUAUUAGAAGAACUCCUUUGAAAUUCCUGGGUUUGGAUCAAGGUUGAAACAUGGUUUAAAUGGUAGGAGCUAUGAUGUUGCUGCUGGAUUUCUAUUUGUUUUUUUCAUUUCUACUGACUUCAGGGGGGUCUUUUUCUUCUAUUUGUUAUAUUCAGGUACUCCUCAUCAGCUUUGAAAUACAAAAGUGAAGAACAAUAUGCUUGGUUUGAAGUUGAAAUUCCAGAAUUUGUUUAGUUUAAUGUUUGCUUGGUUUCCUUCUUCUAUUUGUAGUUCUCUUGCCAUUUGUUUAGAUUUUCUUAAAAAUGAUGUUUAGUUUAUCAUUCAGUCACAUUGCCAGGCUUGAAAGAUGGAGUUGUUUAAUCGUUUCAUAUGGAUCUGAACAGUUUGGCUAUACUCAGGGGUUGUAAUAUUUGGGAACUGUUUUAGAACUAUUAAUCAUAUGAUAUUUGUAUAUGUUUGAAUGAAAACCUUUAGCUAAAGUUUAAUGUUAUUUAGGGAAAGAU